rnacentral:rRNA from 1 species
AUUUGACCUCAAAUCAGGUAGGAACACCCGCUGAACUUAAGCAUAUCAAUAAGCGGAGGAAAAGAAAAUAACAAUGAUUCCCCUAGUAACUGCGAGUGAAGAGGGACAAGCUCAAAUUUUAAAUCUAUCGGGUUUUACCCGAUCGAGUUGUAAUUUGAAGAAGCGUUUUCUGCGUUUUUGAUCAGCCCAAGUCCUAUUGAAUGAGGCAUCAUGGAGGGUGAUAAUCCCGUCCGGUUGAUCAUUUGCGUUUUACGAUACGCUCUCUAAGAGUCAAGUUGUUUGGGAUUGCAGCUUAAAAUGGGAGGUAAAUUUCUCCUAAGGCUAAAUAACGGCGAGAGACCGAUAGCGAACAAGUACCGUGAGGGAAAGAUGAAAAGAACUUUGAAAAGAGAGUUAAACAGUACGUGAAAUUGUUGAAAGGGAAACGAUUGAAGCCAGUCGUACCUUCGGGUAAUCAGCCUUUCGGGUGCGAUUCUGUGGAGUGUGAGGAGCUUAACACCUUCAUGCUUUGCAUAUUUGUGCUCUUGGGUGUACUUGCUCGUGUGGUUGGUUAACAUCAAUUUUGAUUAUCAUAAAAUGAUUGGAGGAAUGUAGCUUCGAUCUCGUAUUGAAGUGUUAUAGCCUUCGGUAGAUGUGAUGAUCGAGAUUGAGGAUUGCAACGGAUACCCUUCGGGGCUACCUGUCUGGUCUCUGAUCGUUGCUCUGGUGCCGAAAGCGUGCUUACGGUUAUCAAAGUCGAUGGUCAAUAGGUUAGAACGGGUUAAAUUCGUUAAGGAUGUUGACGUAAUGGCUUUAAACGACCCGUCUUGAAACACGGACCA